rnacentral:sRNA from 1 species
CGGGCUGUCAUCGCCCGCAUGCUAGAGGA